UAACAUGACCCUCAUUUCAUUUCAUUUCCGCCCUACAGCUGUUCUCACUCCUCUCCUAAAAUAGCUCUCGCAUCUGUCACUCACCUAGACUACCAUCGCCGCUCAGCUCUGUUCAUCGCUCAGUCUUCUCCGUCUGCCCCUCAGCUGUUCUCAGUCCAACGCUUCGAAUCCUCCAUUCGACGAUGGUUUCCUGAAUCCGUCUGCUGACAACGGCUCGACGAUCUUCGUUUCGCCGCCAAUCUACGCUUCUAGAGGCUCCUCCGAUCCGAUGAGAAGCCGUUCGUAGAUGCUUUUGCGACUUCUAAUGCACCAGUUCUGCCGCCGCCAUCGGAAAUGCAAGAGGAAGGAUUUGCUCUCAGGGAAUGGAGAAGGUUAGGCAUUUCUACUGUCUUAUUGAUUUAUUCGCUGAUCUGUUGCAUACUCACAUCCAUUUCACUUCUCUGAACUGAUUUUGUCUAGAUUUCUUUUAGGAUUGAAAUUUUAUACCGAUUAUCUGUCUGAACUUAUUUAGCUUACUGCUUUAUUUAAGAUUUGAAUUUAUUUACUUUGUUCUGCAGAAAUUUUACUUCUCUAGUUGUUUGUUUAUGUUAUAUGAACUUUUGUCCAAGAGGAAGCGAAGCAGGGGUGGCCUCACCGCUACCAGUAGGGCACUGAGAAAUCAAAUGGUGGAAUUAGUAGUAUAACUAGGUAAAUUUCCUCUGCCGCCAAGAUGAAUCUUCUGGGGUGCUUCAGGCUAAGAGACAUUUUACAGCAGCAAAAGUUGAUGGCCUGGUUUAUAAGCUUGGGGGUGAUGCUUAUGUUAAGAUGUUCCAGUCUUCCAGAUGGCCCUCUCCCGGAUCCUCCAAUGAUGGUCUACUUUUGCUCCUAAUGUCGAGGAAAAUGCAUUUUGGCUAAUGUUGGAGAUGGAACCAUAAUUAUGAAUAACCUCCUCCAGAAAAUAUGGUUCUUGAGAAACUGGGGGGAAUCCAUUAUGAACACUCGGUUCGUUGCUCUCAUGAAGUGAAAGCUGCUAACCAAACGAAUCAAAUAUCAGCGUCUUGUAUCAUGCUGGUUCAGCACUAUAGUGGUGCUAUAGUGGGCACCUACUGAAUUGCGGAAUGAUUCUCACGCCUCGAAUGGUCCUGCUCAGUUGACAUCUUUUAUGCUGGUUCGGUUUCUGUUUACUCCAAAUGUAUCUCCCGAAAAGAUUGAAGGAAGCUUUGUUGUAAUUUUGGGUUCAGGUUCAGAUCCUUCAGAAUGAAAAGGAAAAAGUUCUGGAGGAAUCGGUGAGAAGCCUUGAUGAGAAGUUAACAUCUGCUCUCGAUGAGUGCAACGCUAAAGAUGAAUUACUCACAAAGUUCACAAAAAUGGCGGAAGAAGCCAUUGCAGCUCACAAGAAAGCGGAGGCUGAAAUUAUGUGUUUGAAGGAAGAGUUAGAAGAAUCUAUAAAGCAGAGAGAAGCUGCAAAUGGAAGGCUAACUCACCUUAACAGUGCAUUGAAGGAUUGUAUGCAGAAAUUAACUUUCAGCAAAGAAGAAAUGGAGCAAAGAGUACGCGAUACUGUAAUGAGGACAGGAUUCGAGAAGGCCCAUAAUAUAUAUAUAUAUAUAUAUA